rnacentral:rRNA from 1 species
AUAAUGGGUCAGCGACUUAUAUUCUGUAGCAAGGUUAACCGAAUAGGGGAGCCGAAGGGAAACCGAGUCUUAACUGGGCGUUAAGUUGCAGGGUAUAGACCCGAAACCCGGUGAUCUAGCCAUGGGCAGGUUGAAGGUUGGGUAACACUAACUGGAGGACCGAACCGACUAAUGUUGAAAAAUUAGCGGAUGACUUGUGGCUGGGGGUGAAAGGCCAAUCAAACCGGGAGAUAGCUGGUUCUCCCCGAAAGCUAUUUAGGUAGCGCCUCGUGAAUUCAUCUCCGGGGGUAGAGCACUGUUUCGGCAAGGGGGUCAUCCCGACUUACCAACCCGAUGCAAACUGCGAAUACCGGAGAAUGUUAUCACGGGAGACACACGGCGGGUGCUAACGUCCGUCGUGAAGAGGGAAACAACCCAGACCGCCAGCUAAGGUCCCAAAGUCAUGGUUAAGUGGGAAACGAUGUGGGAAGGCCCAGACAGCCAGGAUGUUGGCUUAGAAGCAGCCAUCAUUUAAAGAAAGCGUAAUAGCUCACUGGUCGAGUCGGCCUGCGCGGAAGAUGUAACGGGGCUAAACCAUGCACCGAAGCUGCGGCAGCGACGCUUAUGCGUUGUUGGGUAGGGGAGCGUUCUGUAAGCCUGCGAAGGUGUGCUGUGAGGCAUGCUGGAGGUAUCAGAAGUGCGAAUGCUGACAUAAGUAACGAUAAAGCGGGUGAAAAGCCCGCUCGCCGGAAGACCAAGGGUUCCUGUCCAACGUUAAUCGGGGCAGGGUGAGUCGACCCCUAAGGCGAGGCCGAAAGGCGUAGUCGAUGGGAAACAGGUUAAUAUUCCUGUACUUGGUGUUACUGCGAAGGGGGGACGGAGAAGGCUAUGUUGGCCGGGCGACGGUUGUCCCGGUUUAAGCGUGUAGGCUGGUUUUCCAGGCAAAUCCGGAAAAUCAAGGCUGAGGCGUGAUGACGAGGCACUACGGUGCUGAAGCAACAAAUGCCCUGCUUCCAGGAAAAGCCUCUAAGCAUCAGGUAACAUCAAAUCGUACCCCAAACCGACACAGGUGGUCAGGUAGAGAAUACCAAGGCGCUUGAGAGAACUCGGGUGAAGGAACUAGGCAAAAUGGUGCCGUAACUUCGGGAGAAGGCACGCUGAUAUGUAGGUGAAGUCCCUCGCGGAUGGAGCUGAAAUCAGUCGAAGAUACCAGCUGGCUGCAACUGUUUAUUAAAAACACAGCACUGUGCAAACACGAAAGUGGACGUAUACGGUGUGACGCCUGCCCGGUGCCGGAAGGUUAAUUGAUGGGGUCAGCGCAAGCGAAGCUCUUGAUCGAAGCCCCGGUAAACGGCGGCCGUAACUAUAACGGUCCUAAGGUAGCGAAAUUCCUUGUCGGGUAAGUUCCGACCUGCACGAAUGGCGUAAUGAUGGCCAGGCUGUCUCCACCCGAGACUCAGUGAAAUUGAACUCGCUGUGAAGAUGCAGUGUACCCGCGGCAAGACGGAAAGACCCCGUGAACCUUUACUAUAGCUUGACACUGAACAUUGAGCCUUGAUGUGUAGGAUAGGUGGGAGGCUUUGAAGUGUGG